rnacentral:lncRNA from 1 species
AUGCCACUGGAAUCACAAAGUGUUCUAACACUUGAAAGUGCCGAGCACAGUGCUUGGCACACAUUAGGUAUGCUGUGCUUGUUCACUCACUCACUCACUCACUCAUUCAUUCAUCCACGCCUAAGGAGAAUGGGAGAGGAGACGUUAAUGAUCAAAAUUUCAAACUGCUUGGUUAAAAUCUACCAAUUGAAGCCCUGGGUUGUCCUAGAGAACAUCACAGAGAAUCAGGGUCAAUAUUCCACAACAGAAAUAUAUUCCUUCAAUACCCAGGCUUUGCUUUUACACAUAAACAUCUGCUCAAAGACAAGAAUAAGUUGGUGUCAGACGUAA